rnacentral:rRNA from 1 species
UACGUAGGGGGGCAAGCGUUGUCCGGAAUCAUUGGGCGUAAAGCGCGUGUAGGCGGCUUCGUAAGUCCGUUGUGAAAGUCCAGGGCUCAACCCUGGAAUGCCGAUGGAUACUGCGGAGCUAGAGUCCGGAAGAGGCGAGUGGAAUUCCUGGUGUAGCGGUGAAAUGCGCAGAUAUCAGGAGGAACACCAAUGGCGAAGGCAGCUCGCUGGGACGGUACUGACGCUGAGACGCGAAAGCGUGGGGAGCAAACAGG